AUGGGGGUUGUGGGAAUUAGUACAGUUAUGAUGGUAAUAGAGGACAUGUCUCGUUAUUGGGGGAAUGUGUUCAGGAUUGGUCAUGAAGGAGACAAGCACGACUUGUUUAAAGGGAUGCCAGCAGCCAAGAAUAGAUUGUAUAUGAAGAGAGUCUGCUUGGUCCUGAAGGAGUAUCAAGCUAAGAAAUUAAGAAAAGUUAUGUCUUGGGGUCUCUUAGUUUCGCUGCUGCUGGUGAGUUCAUCCCUGAUCAAUGGAAGAGGGGACAGAUGUCAAAAGCGCCAACAACACAGAGAUGCAACAAUAGGAGCUGUAGUUGAUUUCACUUCUCGUGUGGGAAAAGAACAGAGAAUAGCCAUGGAUUUGGCUAUCCAAGACCUUCUUCACCCGAGCUGCCUUACAGUAAACUUAGACCUCAGAGAUUCACAAGGCCGUUCUGCUAAAUCAACUUCUGCUGCAAGCAAUCUUCUGAAUGAUAAAAAAGUUGAAGCCAUCAUUGGAACUCUAACCAUGCAAGAAGCAGCUGUAGCCUCUGAGAUCGAAAUUCGGAACGGAAACUUCACCAUUUUAUCACUUAUUUCAACCGCCAUAAAACCAUCUCCAGCCUCACUUCAACUGCCAAAUUAUCUCCAAGUAGCAAAUGACAUUGUUAUCCAUAUACAAUGUUUAGCAGCUUUAGUUGGUCAUUUCCAAUGGAGGAAGGUGACUGCACUUUAUGAACAAAACACCGACUUUUCCUCCAAUUCUGGAAUGAUCACCCUCCUCUCUGAUUCACUUAAAUUGGUCAACUCAGAGAUUGAACACCACCAAGCUUUCCCACCCCUCUCUUUUCUCCCUGAUCCGGAUGCCUUCUUCGAUGAAGAGCUGAAGAAGUUGAGGAGCAAGAGCAACAGGGUUUUCAUAGUCACCCAGUUCUCUUUGGAUUCAGCUGUUUUUCUGUUUCGGAAGGCAAAGGAAAUGGGGAUGAUGGGUAAAGGCUAUGUAUGGAUUGUCACAGAUGAGAUUGCAAGUCUUCUUGACUCUGUUGAUACUUCUAUAAAGUACAAUAUGCAAGGUGUGAUUGGUAUUAAAACCAACUUCAUAGAAACAACUAAAAAUUUCGCGAAGUUUAAAACCAGAUUUCGCAGACUGUAUGGACUGCAAUAUCCUGAAGAAGAAGAAAACUCUAGUCCAAGCAUCUUCGCUCUUCGAACAUAUGACACAGUGCACGCCAUUGCUCUAGCCAUGAAAAAUGCUGCCUCAAAUUAUUUGUCUCAAGAAAUUUUGUCCACCAAAUUCCAAGGUUUAAGUGGCAUGAUGGAGUUCAAGAAUGGAAUGCUAUCCCAAUCACCAACCUUUCAAAUCAUUAAUGUGUAUGGCAGAAGCUACAGCGAGAUUGCAUUCUGGUCACCGCGCUUUGGUUUCUCAGAUAGCAUGAACAAACACCUUGAUAUGAAGGAGAGGACUAAUCACAGUUUUGUUCAAGUUUUGGGUCCAAUCAACUGGCCAGGUGGCUUACAAGCACCCCCAAAGGGGUGGACUCUUGUCGAUGAAGAAAGACCCUUGAAGAUAGGGAUUCCAGCGAGGGGUGCCUUCAAUCAGUUUGUGAAAGUAACAUAUGACCAGAACACGAAUCAAACACGCAUCACAGGGUUUUCAAUUGAUAUGUUUGAAGCAGCUGUCAAAAACCUGCCUUAUCAUAUGCCUUAUGUGUUUAUUCCCUUCAAUGGCUCAUAUGAUGAAUUGGUGGAACAGGUCUACUACAAGGGCUUGGAUGCAGCUGUUGGUGAUAUAGAAGUCAUAGCUGACCGGUAUCAUUAUGUUGAGUUCUCACAACCAUAUAUAAGCUCUGGACUUGAGAUGGUAGUCCCUGUAAAGUCAGAUAAGCUGAGGAAAAAUGGAUGUUCAUGAAGGCCUUCAGCAAAACCAUGUGGUUUCUCAUAAUCAUUAUACAUCUAUCUGUAUGCUUUGCUGUCUGUUUUAUUGAAAAUGAGCAUGGCCAAAACUUUGAAUUAAAGAGAAUUGGGGACAUCCUGUGGUUCUCUGUCACCGUCUUAUUUUUCGCGCAAAGAGAACGAGUCCAGAGUAAUUUGGCAAGGCUGGUAUUGGCUCCAUGGUUACUAGUGAUUCUACUAGUAGUGGCCACUUUCACAGCGAGCCUCUCUUCCAUGAUGACUAUCUCUCGAGUCCAGCCAUCUGUGCUCGAUGUGGAAACACUGAAGAAAGGAAUGGAACUGUUGGAUGUAACGGCAACUCCUUUAUCGUAAGGUACCUUAUCGAUGUUCUAGAGUUCAGACCAGAAAACAUCAAGAGAAUUUCCUCCAUAAGUGACUACCCAAAGGCCUUUGAGAGUGGAGAAAUUCAAGCAGCUUUCUUCGUUGCGCCCCAUGCUAAAGUCUUCCUCGCAUGUACUGCAAGGGCUAUAUGAAAGCAGGUCCGAUAUACAAGCCUAGCGGCUUUGCAUUUGUUUUUCCAAAGGGGUCUCCUCUGGCCAUUGACAUGUCAAAGGCAAUCGUAGAAAUAAACGAGAAGAAGCAAGUGGAGCUAUUAGAAAGACAAAUGCUCUCCUCCUUCAACUGUUCCCCUUCACUCAACUCGAACGAUGGUCCAAUAGGUUAUGAGCCCUUUUCUGGCCUAUUUCUAAUCUCAGGUUUGGUUUGUGCAUUUGGGCUUCUGGUUACAAGCGGGCGUAAAGCCGAGAAGCAUCUACAGAAUAUGAGCUGCAUACGAGCAAUACUAAUCAAAACAAGAACUCUGACAUGGGCUUUUCUGUACUUGAAUCAGAGCUACAGACAAUCUCAAAAGCAUUGCUCCACAAGCUCCAUUCUAGAAACUUGCUCUACAAGGAACAUGAGUAGUGGUGUUAUAGUGAUUUAA